rnacentral:tRNA from 2 species
GCCUGGUUAGCAUAAAAGAAAUGCAAUUGUUUUGUAAUCAAUUGAAGGGGGUGCGAUACCCCCACUGGGCU